rnacentral:rRNA from 1 species
AUUGAACGCUGGCGGAAUGCUUUACACAUGCAAGUCGAACGGCAGCACGGACUUCGGUCUGGUGGCGAGUGGCGAACGGGUGAGUAACAUAUCGGAACGUAUCCAAUAAUGGGGGAUAACGAGUCGAAAGAUUCGCUAAUACCGCAUACGCCCUACGGGGGAAAGCUGGGGACCCUCGGGCCUGGCGUUAAUGGAGCGGCCGAUAUCUGAUUAGCUAGUUGGUGAGGUAAAGGCUCACCAAGGCGACGAUCAGUAGCUGGUCUGAGAGGACGACCAGCCACACUGGAACUGAGACACGGUCCAGACUCCUACGGGAGGCAGCAGUGGGGAAUUUUGGACAAUGGGCGCAAGCCUGAUCCAGCCAUUCCGCGUGAGUGAAGAAGGCCUUCGGGUUGUAAAGCUCUUUCGCAAGGGAAGAAAACUUAGCCACUAACAUUGGUUGAGGUUGACGGUACCUUGAUAAGAAGCACCGGCUAACUACGUGCCAGCAGCCGCGGUAA